GGAACUGGCUCCCAGCACUUCACUGGGGGCUGGGAGCCCUGGUGAGUAAGUCCAUGGAGUGUGCGUGGGUUCAACACGCCCCAGUAAUUGCCAGCCUCUGGGCCUUGUCUUGCUCCUAGGGAAGAGGUCUCAGAGUGUCUGGAAACUAGGCCUUUGUUCAUUUUAAACAGAGGCCCUCACUCCCGCCGCUCCUCCCUUGGCCCUUUUGGCAGAACCUUCCACCAGAGUGACAAAGAACAGGGUCUGUGGAAACCAAGGAUAAAAAUCAUAUUUAUGGUUCCGUCUACAUCACGAUUUAUCAUGAAAACCA
rnacentral:lncRNA from 1 species